GAGUUCGGACCAGCGGUGGAGCAUGUGGUUUAAUUCGAUAAUACGCGAGAAACCUUACCAGUUCUUGAAAUUUUUCAUUUUUUACAUACUUUUAAAAAAGUAAGAAAAACAGGUGUUGCAUGGCUGUCGUCAGCUCGUGUCGUGAGAUGUUUUGGUUAAUUCCUAUAACGAGCGCAACCCCUACCGUUAGUUGCCAGCGUGUAAUGACGGGGACUCUAACGGAACUGCCGGUGCAAACCGUGAGGAAGGUGGGGACGACGUCAAAUCAUCACGGCCCUUACGUCCUGGGCCACACACGUGCUACAAUGGUAGGUACAGAGGGAAGCCACCCCGCGAGGGGAGCGGA
rnacentral:rRNA from 1 species